CUCAACAGAAUUUAUUUAAAAAAUGUUUUGAUUUUUUUAGAAGCAUUUGAAAAUUGACUUCCUAUACUUUGCCAUGUAAAAUAAUCGGAGCUUCACGCAUAGGGUCAACUGUGGCAAUUACCUUCGUAGACGCGAAUUGCUCGAUGAAUUAUUGGAUUAGUUUCCUAGAACUCAUCCAUUCCUCAAUGCUGUUUCUCAAUUUAUGUAUCGAUUUGUUUUUGGCAUGCUACUUGUUCUGUCGAUUUAAUUGUCCGAACACAUGAUACUUAUGAGUAAUAGGUAUCAGGAAACCUUCAAAUGUUUUCAAAUUUUGUACAUCAUUGCCUUGCACAUGUGUAUUGUUUGAACAGUUGUUGGGUUGUCGCUUUCAUUAAUCAAACCAUUCUUUCUGUCGUUCUACGCAGUAUUGAACAAAGUAUAUGAUAUAUCAGUUCUUAAUUUUCAUUCAACCUACUAAGAUGUUCGGAGCUCUAGCAGCAGCCAUAGAAGAUAAGCCAGCGGUUUCCCAAGUAUCCCAGCACAUCGUCCAAAAUGCCAAAAAUGUCCGACAGGGUCAUCCUGAUUUUGUCAACUGUACCAUCGGAUUGCCUCCAAAAUGGGCUCGGGAUAACGUACAAGAUAAUCCCAUCCCCAAAAUGACCAAGGAGGACGACCACAGUGACGAACUCCGUUUCGCGAAACAAAAACCAAUGUCGAAAAAGGAAUGAAAUAAAAUCGUAAUACUGAGUGACAACCAAA